AAUUAUUGAUUUUACAUUUUGUAAUUUUUUCUAGCUCUUGCUUGUUUUUAAAGUCUUUCCUUUCCUAAAGAUCUGACAAAUAUACUAUUCUGUGUUCAUCUAAUCUGCUUAUAGCUUCCUUCUUUAUAUUCAGGUCAUUCACCCAUUCUGAGUUUAUGUUGGUGUAGGGUGUGAGAUGUUGAUACAAACCUCUUUCCCAUACUGUCUUCCAAUUUUCCCAGCAGUUUGUAUGAAAUAGUGGGUUUUGGUCCCCCAAAACUGGGAUCUUUGGGCUUAUCAAAGAGACUUUCUUUCUGAGGUCAUUUACCCCAAGUCUAUUCCACUGAUUCUCCUUUCUAUCUCUUUGCCAGUACCAAAUUGUUUUAAUGAUCACUGCUUUAUAGUAUAGUUUGAGAUCUGGUACUGCAAGGCCACCUUCCUUUGCAUUUUUUUCCCAUUAUUUCCCUGGUUAUCCUUGAUCUUUGUUCUUCCAAAUGAAUUUUGUUAUUUUUUUUUUUUUUUCCAUGAUUUCCCUGGAUAUCCUUGAUCUUUUGUGCUUCCAAAUGAACUUUUUAAUGUUUUUUUCUAAUUCAGUAAAAAAAAUUUUUUUAGUAGUUCAAUGGGUAUGGCACUAAAUAAGUAAAUUAAUCUGGGUAGGAUUGUCAUUUUUAUUAUGUUAGCUCAUCCCACCCAUGAACAAUCAAUGUUUUUCCAAUUGUUUAGGUCUAGUUUUAAUUGUGUGGAGAGUGUUUUGUAGUUGUAUUCAUAUAGUUCCUGUGUUUGUCUCAGCAGAGAGAUUCCUAAGUAUUUUAUAUUGUCUAUGGUGAUUUUACAUGGAAUUUCUCUUUCUAAUUCUAGCUGCCGAAAUAGGUUGGAGAUAUAUAGAAAUGCUGAUGACUUAUGAUGGUUUAUUUUGUAUCCUGCAACUUUGCUAAAAUUGUUGAUUGUUUUGACUAGCUUUUUGGUUGAUUCUCUAAGAUUAUUUAAGUAAACCAUCAUUUCAUCCUCAAAGAGUGAUAGCUUGGUCUCCUCAUUGCCUAUUUUAAUAUCUUCAAUUUCUUUUUUUCUCUAAUUGCUACUGCUAGUGUUUCUAUUACAAUGUUAAAUAGUAGAGGUUAUAAUGGGCAUUCUUGUUUCACUCCUGAUCUUAUUGGGAAGGCAGAUGAUAUUUUCUGAUGGUUUUAGAUAUAUGCUGUUUAUUAUUUUUAGGAAAGGCCUUCCAUCCCUAUAAUUUCUAGUGUUUUCAAUAGGAAUGGGUGUUGUAUUUUAUCAAAGGGUUUUUCUGCAUCUAUUGAGAUAAUCAUGUGAUUUUUGUCAGUUUGCUUGUUAAUAUGGUCAAUUAUGUGAAUGGUUUUCCUAAUAUUGAACCAUCCUUGCAUUCCUGGUAUGAAUCCUACCUGGUCAUAGUGAAUAACGCUUGUGAUGACUUGCUGGAGUCUUUUUGCCAAUAUCCUAUUUGAAAUUUUUGCAUCCAUAUUCAUUAAGGAGAUUGGACUAUAGUUUUCUUUCUUGUUUUUUGACCUGCCUAGCUUUGGGAUCAGUAUUAGAUUGGGAUCAGUAUCAGAUUUAAAAAAAUGGAAAAAGGAAAAACAAAACAAAACAAACCUCCCCCUUUUUUUUAAAGAGACUCAAUAAGUUAAAAUAUUAUGUAUCCCUAUAAGAAAAGAGGUAAUUGGUAACUCUUAAAAACUGUUGUUAUCACCUGUGCAGAUAGAAGAAUUAUACUUAGAGGGAACAGUGACAAACUGUAUAGGAUGAAAAGACAAGUCAUAAAUAGGUAUAUAGAUAUAUGCAUGCAUAAAUACAUAUAUGUGUAUAUAUAUAUAUACACAUAACUAGAGCUAAAAAAAGAGGUUAAUACUAAAAGAAAUGGGAAAAGAAACAAAUGGGGGUAAAUUUAUAUGUCACAAAGCAGCUCAAGGCAGGAGGGGGGAGAACAUCAAUACACUAGAAGGGUAAAGAGGUUGGGGAUAGGAAAUACUCAAAUCUUAUGGGCAUUGAAAUUAAUCUAAAGAGGGAAGAACAAUCCAAUACAUUGGCUAUAGAAUAGAUUUGUGCCCUAUAGGGGAGUAGAAGAGUAACAAAUGGACUGGUGGGGAGGGAAGCAGAACAAGGGAGGGAGAGGAUGGGGGGUAAUUUUAGAAAGACUACAGGGAAAAUAAUGGGGAGAAUAAGAAGGGAGGGGGUAGAAAGGGAAGAAAAAUAAGGGUGGGAACUAGGGGGACUGAUUAAAAACAAACAUUGGUUUAGGAGGAAAUAGUGAAAAAAGAAAAGGCAGGACCAGGAGUAGAAAUCAAAAUGCUGAGAAAUACCCAGCUAAUAAUCAUAACUCUGAAUGUGAAUGGAAUGAACUCACCCAUAAAAUGCAAGUGAAUAGCAGAGGGGAUUAGAAUCCAAAAACCCUACAAUAUGCUGUCUACAAGAAACAGACAUGAGGAAGGUAGAUAUGCAUAGGGUGAAAGUAAGAGGAUGGAGCCAAAUCUAUUGGGCAUCAACUGAAAAAGAAGGCAGGGGUCGCAAUCCUGAUAUCUGACAAAGCCAAAGUAAAAAUAAAUCUAGUAAAAAGAGAUAGGGAAGGUAAUUA
ensembl:lncRNA